UACGUAGGCAGCAAGCGUUGUUCGGAGUUACUGGGCGUAAAGGGUGUGUAGGCGGUUUUUUAAGUUUGGUGUGAAAUCUCCCGGCUCAACUGGGAGGGUGCGCCGAAUACUGAAAGACUAGAGUGCGGGAGAGGAAAGUGGAAUUCCUGGUGUAGCGGUGAAAUGCGUAGAUAUCAGGAGGAACACCGGUGGUGUAGACGGCUUUCUGGACCGUAACUGACGCUGAGACACGAAAGCGUGGGGAGCGAACAGG
rnacentral:rRNA from 1 species